rnacentral:tRNA from 1 species
GCCCUGAUAGUAUAAACAUUACCUUGGUCUUGUAAACCAAAAAUGAGGGUCUAACCUCUCAGGACA